rnacentral:lncRNA from 1 species
CAGGCUGGGAGUGGACACCUGCGCUCACAGACUCAGCCCCUUUGCUGUGACAUCCCCCACGUGCUCUUAGUUAACCCCCUCCAGCAGCAGGCUGGGAAGGAGGAUGUGCUGGGAGGGAUCCUCCCUGGGUUUCCCCCUGGGAGCUGAUAGUUCCUUCCCCGGGGGCUCAAGCCUGGGGUCCUCCCUGCACGGCCCCUCCCCCAUCCUCCACUAUCCCCAUUGUCUACACAGCGGCUGGCGGCUGGGGGGAGGGCACUUUAAAAAAAGGACAUGCGAGUUCCCACAGUGGUGCAGCGGAAAGGAGUCCAAAUGGUAUCCGGGGUCGAUCCCUGGCCUCGCUCAGUUCCAUCCCUGGCCUCGCGUUGCCUGAGCUGUGAUGUAGGUUACAGACACAGCUCAGAUCCCGCAUUGCUGUGGCUGUGGUGUAGCUCUGAUGUGACUCCUAGCCGGGAGACUUCCAUAUGCUGCAGGUGCAGCCCUAAAAAGUAAAAAAAAAAAAAAAAAAAAAAGAAAAAGGAAAUGAUACCAUACCCUGCACUUGCUUCCAGCACUCCCGCAGUUUCCCUGUACAGUUGGACAAGAUGCUCACUCACCCUCCACCCUGGCUCGGACCCUGCCCACCUCCCUGCUCCUCGGGCCCCCAGAACGCUGCCUUCUCAGGUCCUGUCCCAGCUGCUCCCUGUGUGCUCGCAGGUGACAGGCCCAGAGAGCGCUAGUCUCACACCCAAUCCAGACCACCCCGCUCUUCUCCCCUCUGUUGCUCUCUGCGAAAUACCUGCCGCCGACCCUGUGAUUUGUGUGCUCGUAUUCUGUCCUAGGGGGUGCAAGCUCCUUGAGGGCAGGCAUCUUGCAUUUCUCAUUCCGCUUGGACAGCGCGUCAGGCAUAUCCUAGUUGCUGGAUGAAUACUUGUGCAUCACCGAGCCAAAAAUGGGGGAUGAUGGGGGAGGCGGGGGAGCAGCUGGGAGACAGGUGAGAUCUGAGCGUGCGGGCCCUUGGGCUCGUGCAAAUAGAAUCGGCCUUGACCUUCUAGGAGGUGGGUGAACCACAGACGAGCUUCACCCAGUUCAGGGUGAAGACUGAUCACGCCAGUGGCUGGGCAGAGAGCCUUGUGUCUCCUCGAGGCUGAGCUCCCAUGGCGGGGGUGGGGGGGUAUUAGAAGGGGAGAGGGCCACCAAGAGCCUCCAGGGAGGGACAGGGCCUGGGGAUGUCAAGGAUGGAAAGAAGAAAAGGAUCUGGGGGCGGGGAAGGGAGCGCCAGAGAGCAAACGUAGCGACACCCAAGGGGCCAUGGGAUGGUUCAUUUGUCGGAGGGAGCAUAUUCCUCGAGAUCAGGGACCAACUUUUUAGGUAAAGGAAGAACUUUUCUUCAAACGAAAUCAUAUUCAGAACUUCCUCGAUGGGUCGGAUGGAAGUGGCGUCGCUCCCACCCGGGCGGGGGAAGGGGCCCAGAGCCAAGCCCUGCCCCUCCACCGGGCCACCCCUUCUGCUGCUCCUCUGCGGGGCAGGGGGGCGGGCGAGCUGAGGGCAGGCUUCCCCGCCUUCCCACCUGGGCCUCUGCGGCUGGGGUGUCACUUCGCCCUCCUCUCCGCAGACAGCCUGGCACCCUGGGCGCCCUCCCUGCCCCGGCAGCCUGAGGACAGGACAGAUUCUCUGCAGAGCCCAGGCUGCCCGUCCUGCAGGCUGGUCCUCCAGCCCCUCCACCCCUGGCUCUGGCACCGCGGCUGCUAUAAAUACACCCUGUGAAGGGAAUGACGUGAUGGAACAGAAGUGGCUCCAGAGCCCGCUGGCUCCAGGCUAUUGUGUCAGCAACACACCUUAGAGAAACACAUAAAAAGACAGCAACUCGGGAGGGAGCGCGCGGGCCGUAAAGGAGAGAAAGAACAAGAGCGAAGGCAAAAAUAACAACAACAAACAAAACUCAUAAGCCUACGUGAGUAUUCCUGGGAGGAUGAAAAGGCUCCAGAAAGGUCACCCCGGUCCCUUGAGCACACAAUGUAGUUUUUGUAAACUUCCAAGGCUCCCUUCUAC